CAUCAAGUGAGUAACAAGUAAAGUAUAUGUAUUAGAAAUAAUAUUCUGGGAUAAAAAGAGAAGAAUGGAUGGGAAAAGGCAAAAUCCUGGAGACAGACUAGUUAGGAAAUACUCAUUCCUCAGAAAACCAACACGAACUAAGCAGCUUUCCUACACAACACCCAUCCUCCAUGAUGCUUCUGCACUGAAGACAGCCUACCCUGGACUGAGCCCUCUGAACCCAUAAACCAUAUAAUCCUCUUCUCCUUUAAAUUGUGUAUGUGGGUAUUUUGUCCACCAAGAAGAAAGCUAAUACAACUGUCAUAUGUUAUUUUUUCUCAAUUAAUAUUUUUGCCAUUUGUCUAAAGUUCCAAGCUAGAG
ensembl:lncRNA